rnacentral:rRNA from 1 species
CCUACGGGAGGCAGCAGUGGGGAAUAUUGGGCAAUGGGCGCAAGCCUGACCCAGCAACGCCGCGUGAAGGAAGAAGGCUUUCGGGUUGUAAACUUCUUUUCUCAGGGACGAAGCAAGUGACGGUACCUGCGGAAUAAGCCACGGCUAACUACGUGCCAGCAGCCGCGGUAAUACGUAGGUGGCAAGCGUUAUCCGGAUUUACUGGGUGUAAAGGGCGUGUAGGCGGGAAAGCAAGUCAGAUGUGAAAACCAUGGGCUCAACCUGUGGCCUGCAUUUGAAACUGUUUUUCUUGAGUACUGGAGAGGCAGACGGAAUUCCUAGUGUAGCGGUGAUAUGCGUAGAUAUUAGGAGGAACACCAGUGGCGAAGGCGGUCUGCUGGACAGCAACUGACGCUGAGGCGCGAAAGCGUGGGGAGCAAACAGGAUUAGAUACCCGAGUAGUC